GCCGAAGUGGUGAAACUGGCAGACGCACUGGACUCAAAAUCCAGCGGUAGCGAUACCGUACCGGUUCGAUUCCGGUCUUCGGCA
rnacentral:tRNA from 1 species